GGGGAUGAAAGGAUUUCGACGGGGAUUUUAAGCCGUGAUAAGCGAGUGGUGGCAAGGAACCACCUUAAAAGCCUUAAAUGUUUAUAAAAUAAACGACACUAACAAAGUUUUACUUGCUGCUUAAUUUUUAGCAGCUGUUCCCAUAGGAAGUACUGCGGUCCUUUCGGGAGCAUCAUGUAGCAGUAAAUGUGAAUGAGCGACCGCCUUGUAACUCAUCACACAUAACAGGGCUACCGAAGUUCUGAGCCUGUCAUCGGGCGCUUUACAACGGGAAUAACAAAACAAUGACUACACUCGUAGAAAGUUGCGGGGAGAGAUUUUCGGACGCGGUUUCGAUUACCGCCAUCUCCACCA
rnacentral:tmRNA from 1 species